rnacentral:rRNA from 1 species
CUCAGGACGAACGCUGGCGGCGUGCUAAUACAUGCAAGUCGAACGCUUCUUUCCUCCCGAGUGCUUGCACUCAAUUGGAAAGAGGAGUGGCGGACGGGUGAGUAACACGUGGGUAACCUACCCAUCAGAGGGGGAUAACACUUGGAAACAGGUGCUAAUACCGCAUAACAGUUUAUGCCGCAUGGCAUAAGAGUGAAAGGCGCUUUCGGGUGUCGCUGAUGGAUGGACCCGCGGUGCAUUAGCUAGUUGGUGAGGUAACGGCUCACCAAGGCCACGAUGCAUAGCCGACCUGAGAGGGUGAUCGGCCACACUGGGACUGAGACACGGCCCAGACUCCUACGGGAGGCAGCAGUAGGGAAUCUUCGGCAAUGGACGAAAGUCUGACCGAGCAACGCCGCGUGAGUGAAGAAGGUUUUCGGAUCGUAAAACUCUGUUGUUAGAGAAGAACAAGGACGUUAGUAACUGAACGUCCCCUGACGGUAUCUAACCAGAAAGCCACGGCUAACUACGUGCCAGCAGCCGCGGUAAUACGUAGGUGGCAAGCGUUGUCCGGAUUUAUUGGGCGUAAAGCGAGCGCAGGCGGUUUCUUAAGUCUGAUGUGAAAGCCCCCGGCUCAACCGGGGAGGGUCAUUGGAAACUGGGAGACUUGAGUGCAGAAGAGGAGAGUGGAAUUCCAUGUGUAGCGGUGAAAUGCGUAGAUAUAUGGAGGAACACCAGUGGCGAAGGCGGCUCUCUGGUCUGUAACUGACGCUGAGGCUCGAAAGCGUGGGGAGCAAACAGGAUUAGAUACCCUGGUAGUCCACGCCGUAAACGAUGAGUGCUAAGUGUUGGAGGGUUUCCGCCCUUACAGUGCUGCAGCAAACGCAUUAAGCACUCCGCCUGGGGAGUACGACCGCAAGGUUGAACUCAAGGAAUUGACGGGGGCCCGCACAAGCGGUGGAGC